rnacentral:rRNA from 1 species
GAGACCUCAGCUCAGGCGGGGC